AUUGAACGCUGGCGGCAGGCCUAACACAUGCAAGUCGAACGAGUGGCGGACGGGUGAGUAAUGUCUGGGAAACUGCCUGAUGGAGGGGGAUAACUACUGGAAUCGGUAGCUAAUACCGCAUACCAGCAGAUGUGCCCAGAUGGGAGUAGCUUGUUGGUGGGGUAACGGCGCACCAAGGCGACGAUCGCUAGCUGGUCUGAGAGGAUGACCAGCCACACGUGAACUGAAACACGGUCCAGGAUCCGACGUGAGGCAGCAGUGGGGAAUAUUGCACAGUGGGCGCAAGCCUGAUGCAGCCAUGCCGCGUGUAUGAAGAAGGCCUGCGGGGUGUAAAGUACUUUCAGCGGGGAGGCGUUACCCGCAGAAGAAGCACCGGCUAACUCCGUGCCAGCAGUCGCGGUAAUUC
rnacentral:rRNA from 1 species